UUUUUUUUUUAUUGUCAAAAUCCGGGAAAAAAUCGUGUUUGCCGAAAUUGUUUCCGGUAUUAUACAGUAUACACGCCCCAACCGGAAGUCCGCCAUUUUUACAUGUGUUUGGUUGUAAAAUAAACAGUCAUGAUACGUUUUUAGUUAAUUUUGUUGCAUUCUGUUAUGAAUUGUUGCAUUUUAGCCAUAACAGAUACUUGUGAUUGAAAUUCAGAUGACAGAAAUCUAUGAAUUUAAUUAUUUUAAUUCACAAUCCUCAAAAUUUGAUCGUUUGAAAAUUUAUUUUUCAGAAAUGAAAAAAAAAGUUCUAGGGUCGGGGGUUUUAACUAGGGUCGGUCGGGUUACUGGAA
rnacentral:lncRNA from 1 species